rnacentral:rRNA from 1 species
AGUGAACGCUGGCGGCAGGCCUAACACAUGCAAGUCGAACGGACGCACAGUAAGAGCUUGCUCUUACGGGUGGCGAGUGGCGGACGGGUGACGAAUACAUCGGAAUCUACUUUUUCGUGGGGGAUAACGUAGGGAAACUUACGCUAAUACCGCAUACGAUCUACGGGUGAAAGCAGGGGAUCUUCGGACCUUGCGCGUUUGAAUGAGCCGAUGUCGGAUUAGCUAGUUGGCGGGGUAAAGGCCCACCAAGGCAACGAUCCGUAGCUGGUCUGAGAGGAUGAUCAGCCACACUGGAACUGAGACACGGUCCAGACUCCUACGGGAGGCAGCAGUGGGGAAUAUUGGACAAUGGGCGCAAGCCUGAUCCAGCCAUACCGCGUGAGUGAAGAAGGCCUUCGGGUUGUAAAGCCCUUUUGUUGGGAAAGAAAAUCAGCAUGUUAAUACCCCGCUGUUCUGACGGUACCCAAACAAUAAGCACCGGCUAACUUCGUG